AGCAGCCGCGGUAAUAAAAAGGGUGCAAGCGUUGUCCGGAAUUAUUGGGCGUAAAGAGCUCGUAGGUGGUCGAUCACGUCGGAUGUGAAAUUCCGAGGCUUAACCUCGGACCUGCAUUCGAUACGGGUUGACUAGAGUGUGGUAGGGGAGACUGGAAUUCCUGGUGUAGCGGUGGAAUGCGCAGAUAUCAGGAGGAACACCGAUGGCGAAGGCAGGUCUCUGGGCCAUUACUGACACUGAGGAGCGAAAGCGUGGGGAGCGAACAGGAUUAGAUACCCUGGUAGUCCACGCCGUAAACGGUGGGCGCUAGUUGUGGGAACCUUCCACGGUUUCUGCGACGCAGCUAACGCAUUAAGCGCCCCGCCUGGGGAGUACGGUCGCAAGACUAAAACUCAAAGAAAUUGACGGGGCCCCGCACAAGCAGCGGAGCAUGCGGCUUAAUUCGACGCAACGCGAAGAACCUUACCAAGGCUUGACAUAUACAGGAAUACGGCAGAGAUGUCGUAGCCGCAAGGUCUGUAUACAGGUGGUGCAUGGUUGUCGUCAGCUCGUGUCGUGAGAUGUUGGGUUAAGUCCCGCAACGAGCGCAACCCUCGUCCUGUGUUACCAGCAUUUAGUUGGGGACUCACAGGAGACUGCCGGGUCAACUCGGAGGAAGGUGGGGAUGACGUCAAAUCAUCAUGCCCCUUAUGUCUUGAGCUGCACGCAUGCUACAAUGGCUGGUACAAAGGGCUGCGAUACCGCGAGGUGGAGCGAAUCCCAAAAAGCCAGUCUCAGUUCGGAUUGGGUUCUGCAACUCGACCCCAUGAAGUCGGGAGUUGCUAGUAAUCGUAGAUCAGCACGGCUACGAUCAUACGGUUCCCCGGGGGCCUUUGUUUACCACACAACCCCGUC
rnacentral:rRNA from 1 species